rnacentral:misc_RNA from 1 species
ACUUUUAAUGUAAUCAGGAUAGCAUUAAAUGCCAUAACAAAAGAAUACCCCAAACGAGAUUUGGAAAAUAAGAAGAGAACAUCACUUUGGUUUCAGUAGCCAAAAACUAGAUUGUUAUUGAACUUCAAAAUUCCAGACCUGAAUAUAUAAACCAAUAGAAGCAAGCAAUUAUCUCACCAACCCAACAAGCAAAAGUGGAAAACUAAGGACCCAUUAAUGCAUGUACUGCAAAGAAGUACAAAACAGACGGCUGUAAUUUGCAGUACAGAGUACAGACUACUCAAACUCUUCCAACCGUGAUGCUACACAUAUCAAACACUUGUGAGGCCAUUAAUUUUGAUCCCUUCUCGUUGACUUAGAAUCUUUUCACCACUUUCUUUCGAGUUUGGAAUUGAUAUCACAAAAAAGAAAAAGCAAAAAGUUGGGUAUGAUGGUAAUGGGAGUGGCUAUAAAGGAGAGGGAGAGAAUUAGGACAAACACCUUCAUCAUCAGUGAUCACUUCACUUCAAAAGUAUUUGUUCUUUGAUCGGGGCGUUAGACAAUUUGAAACCAACUAUGAGAGUGGCAGUACAGCAAUUUUCAAGGUCCAGAGAGAGCUCGUGAGAGGAUUGUUUAGAUUGCUGGCGGGUGGACCCA